rnacentral:rRNA from 1 species
AUGAACGCUAGCGACAGGCUUAACACAUGCAAGUCGAGGGGCAGCGGGGGUAGCAAUACCCGCCGGCGACCGGCGCACGGGUGAGUAACGCGUAUGCAACUUACCUAUCAGAGGGGGAUAACCCGGCGAAAGUCGGACUAAUACCGCAUGAAGCAGGGGCCCCGCAUGGGGAUAUUUGCUAAAGAUUCAUCGCUGAUAGAUAGGCAUGCGUUCCAUUAGGCAGUUGGCGGGGUAACGGCCCACCAAACCGACGAUGGAUAGGGGUUCUGAGAGGAAGGUCCCCCACAUUGGUACUGAGACACGGACCAAACUCCUACGGGAGGCAGCAGUGAGGAAUAUUGGUCAAUGGGCGUAAGCCUGAACCAGCCAAGUCGCGUGAGGGAUGAAGGUUCUAUGGAUCGUAAACCUCUUUUAUAAGGGAAUAAAGUGCGGGACGUGUCCCGUUUUGUAUGUACCUUAUGAAUAAGGAUCGGCUAACUCCGUGCCAGCAGCCGCGGUAAUACGGAGGAUCCGAGCGUUAUCCGGAUUUAUUGGGUUUAAAGGGUGCGUAGGCGGCCUUUUAAGUCAGCGGUGAAAGUCUGUGGCUCAACCAUAGAAUUGCCGUUGAAACUGGGGGGCUUGAGUAUGUUUGAGGCAGGCGGAAUGCGUGGUGUAGCGGUGAAAUGCUUAGAUAUCACGCAGAACCCCGAUUGCGAAGGCAGCCUGCCAAGCCAUGACUGACGCUGAUGCACGAAAGCGUGGGGAUCAAACAGGAUUAGAUACCCUGGUAGUCCACGCAGUAAACGAUGAUCACUAGCUGUUUGCGAUACAGUGUAAGCGGCACAGCGAAAGCGUUAAGUGAUCCACCUGGGGAGUACGCCGGCAACGGUGAAACUCAAAGGAAUUGACGGGGGCCCGCACAAGCGGAGGAACAUGUGGUUUAAUUCGAUGAUGCGCGAGGAACCUUACCCGGGUUUGAACGCAUUCGGACCGAGGUGGAAACACCUUUUCUAGCAAUAGCCGUUUGCGAGGUGCUGCAUGGUUGUCGUCAGCUCGUGCCGUGAGGUGUCGGCUUAAGUGCCAUAACGAGCGCAACCCUUGCCACUAGUUACUAACAGGUAAAGCUGAGGACUCUGGUGGGACUGCCAGCGUAAGCUGCGAGGAAGGCGGGGAUGACGUCAAAUCAGCACGGCCCUUACAUCCGGGGCGACACACGUGUUACAAUGGCGUGGACAAAGGGAAGCCACCUGGCGACAGGGAGCGAAUCCCCAAACCACGUCUCAGUUCGGAUCGGAGUCUGCAACCCGACUCCGUGAAGCUGGAUUCGCUAGUAAUCGCGCAUCAGCCAUGGCGCGGUGAAUACGUUCCCGGGCCUUGUACACACCGCCCGUCAAGCCAUGGGAGCCGGGGGUACCUGAAGUCCGUAACCGCGAGGAUCGGCCUAGGGUAAAACUGGUGACUGGGGCU